UGGGACCUGUAUCAUCGUUGAAGUGGCUUGGCUAUGAAUGCAAAGAUGAAAUCACAGUAAGUGACACUGAGACCAAGGACAGUGAGAGUGAUUCUGAUGCCACUGGCACAGCAUUCCCAGAGUGUGAAACUAGUGAGGCUGUGGACGCUGCAACAGGCUCUACAGCCACGGAGCAGGUCCAUCAUGCUGCAGAUUUUGAAGCAGUGUCAUCAGUGACCUCCACCGUGAAUGAGACUGUCCCUCUCUCUGAAGG